AGCUUCCUCCACCUGUGGAUCCUUGCAGACAGCUGAAGCUCCAAUGUCCAGCAUCAUGUGCCACCAACCUAAAGACUGUGGUGGAAAGCUGUGCCAUUGACCUCAACCUACAGACUCUCUCAGCAACCUGCAUCUUUCACCUCCACCAUACUUGUGCACAGUUGUCUCUCUCUCUCUCACACACAACCCAACCGGUCAAGGCAGAUGGCCGCCCUCACUGAGCCGGGGUCUGCUCCGAGGUUUCUGCCUUUAAAAAGGAAGUUUUUCCUCGCCACUGUCGCCGAGUGCUUGCUCAUGGGGGUUUUGUUGGGUCCUCCUGCUUCCAGACACCUGUGCCUUGUCCUGCAUCUACAUAUUCUAGAAGAGUAUGGGAGUCCAAACAUCCACCUGCAGAGUUUUUCAUCUUCUGCCUGCAGUUUACAGCUCCAUCAUAAUCAUCCUACAGGCUCUGUCAGCAACCUACACCUCCUUCUCCACCUGAAGAUUCUAACAGACAGCAAUGGGCCUAAAACUCUGCCUACAACCUUUGCCAGAGACAUCCAGUGCUACCUCCACCAUUCUUUCAGAUAACUGUGUCUCAGUGCGUCCACCUCCAGAGACUUACAACUCCUGCUCGCAAACUCCUGUUCCAGAAAGCUGCAUUGCCACCUGCAUCAGCUGACAGCAAAAAGACACAGCAGAUUCAUGCAGAUACAUGCAGCACGAGCCUCCACCUCCACCUCCUGUCACUAAGCCACAGUCGCUGCUUUCACUUGAAGAUUCUGGGGCUCAAAAUUCAGAGACUUUCAACACCCUGCAGUCGCCACCUCCUCUCGUCUACAGCAGACACCACCUGCAGCUCCAUCCUUCACGAACAGUCACCAUUUCCCUCUUCCUGAAAACUUCACAUAGAUGACGUCUCCCUUCUUCAGUCUUCGGUAGCCAAAGUCAAACAAGCUGCAGACACAGCUGAUUCAACAAACAUGAGCUGAUGGAUCACUGAGGUUCCUAAUAACAUCACCAAAGAGUCUCCUGGCCAGCUGCCAAUCAUGGUGAAAUGAUUUGGCAUGUCAGCAAAAGACUUCACAGAACAUCAUGAUCGUGGAUGUGUGUGGUUGCUGUCAUCCCUGUGAGCCCUGUGUUCCCUGCUUUUGCAUCGUCAUCUGGAUUAUUUGUUUGGACCAUUUUUACCUGGGCUCCCAGCUGCCUGUUGUUUCCUUCUGUUCCUUUUAAAAAUACUUUAAUUAAACUUUCUUUUCUUCACUUUA